rfam:Lepisosteus oculatus linkage group LG3, whole genome shotgun sequence.
GUCAGGAUGGCCAAGCGGUCUAAGGCGCUGCAUUCAAGUUGCAGUCUCCCCUGGAGGUGUGAGUUCAAAUCUCACUUCUAACA